rnacentral:rRNA from 1 species
AUGAACGCUGGCGGCGUGCCUCAUCCAUGCCAGUCGCGCGAACAGACGAGGAGCUUGCUCCUUCGACGUUAGCGGCGGACGGGUGAGUAACACGUAGGUAACCUACCUAUAAGACUGGGAUAACUUCGGGAAACCGGAGCUAAUACCGGAUAAUAUUUCGAACCGCAUGGUUCGAUAGUGAAAGAUGGCUUUGCUAUCACUUAUAGAUGGACCUGCGCCGUAUUAGCUAGUUGGUAAGGUAACGGCUUACCAAGGCAACGAUACGUAGCCGACCUGAGAGGGUGAUCGGCCACACUGGAACUGAGACACGGUCCAGACUCCUACGGGAGGCAGCAGUAGGGAAUCUUCCGCAAUGGGCGAAAGCCUGACGGAGCAACGCCGCGUGAGUGAUGAAGGUCUUCGGAUCGUAAAACUCUGUUAUUAGGGAAGAACAAACGUGUAAGUAACUGUGCACGUCUUGACGGUACCUAAUCAGAAAGCCACGGCUAACUACGUG